AUCACAUUUAGUAAAAACUUACUCAAAUAAAGCUUAGUAAAAACAAUAUUUUUGGCUGGCAGAAUGAAUCCAAUAACCUGAAGCAAAGUUGAAAUAACAUCUGUGGAUCAGCAUGUUAGUGCAAUUCAUACUCUAUAAACUGAAUCUCUUCAUCUGAAAAACACAUUUAAUUGCUCUUACAGUAUAUGAAACAGGUGCAUGGAAACAUCAUCCUGAAGCUGCCUUCUGUCUACCAAUAAAAUGUGGAAAAAGCUAAAUAAAUACAUAUUUUAAAAGUUUUGUAAUGGCAAACCUAAUGAUUUAUCCUGAAACAACAAUAAUGCAAUAAUUUUGCAUUUUUCCAAAACUCCAAAAGCAUAUCAACAUAAAGUUCGCUGCAGUUGUCAGCUGAAAUGAAUACUAGCGGCAAAGAAACAGCAGCAAGUUUUAUUCGUUUUACGCAAAUCAUGAUAAUUGGGCAGAUUAUCAAUUCAUGAAGAGUCACUUUUGCAUGUUUUUGCACAAUACUAUGUUAUCACCUCAAAACGCUUCAGUGCAUGCCUUGUACACUAAUAUAAUGUCCCUUUUUUAUCAUCACUCAGCAGCUUUAGGCUCACGGUUCACUGGGUUCAUAUCUUUGCACACCACACCAGGGAUAUUUAAUCAGCUCAAGACAGAGAGGAUGUCAAAGGAAAUUACAAAUAUCCGAACUAGUAACGGUUUUCCCUUUUAAUGCGCUCUCUUCAUACACACAUCACCUGAAGCACAACAUACAAGAUUGAAUUUCAGGCAGACACGAAAUAACAGUGAAUUUAAAAGCAUGUGUUGUCUAUAUUUGCUGAGUUCCUGUGCCAUCCUCUCCUGCUGCCUUCUCACCGUCAUCAUCCGGAUUCCUCACCACCUCACCACCAUCUUGGAUUUUUGUCUUCCCAGCAUCAUUGUCUUUUCCCUGUUUGUUUAUUUAUUUUCAUUAAAAACCCAUAACUCGCUAUUGUUUCCAGUCCUUCCUUCACCCAGCCGUCACA
ensembl:lncRNA